CUGAGCGGCCCACGGGAGCAGGCAGUGAGAGGCGCCACGAGAGGCACGGCCAGGGCAGGAGACACCCCUAUCAUGAACACCCCGUCCCCAGGACAGGCACGGGCACAGGCCCAGGUGUCGGGUCCUCACCCACGCCCAUGUGGCAGGCCCACACCCACACGGCAGGUCCUCACCCACCUGCACGUGGCAGCUCCACACCCAUGCCCACACCAUAUGGAGGACCCAUGCCCACGUGGAGGGUUCUCACCUACACAAUGUAGGUGUGGGUCCUCACCCACGCCCACGUGGCAGGCCACGCCCUCACCCAUGCCCAUGAUGGCCACAUGGCAGGGCUCACCUAUGCCCACAUGGGCCUCCAGGAUCAUGCUGACAUCAUUUGCGCCAUCGCCAAUGGCUAAGGUGAUG